rnacentral:rRNA from 1 species
AUUGAACGCUGGCGGCAGGCCUAACACAUGCAAGUCGAGCGGAUGCAGAGAACUUGCUCCUGGAUUCGGCGGCGGACGGGCGGGUGAUUCCGAGGAAUAUCCCUAUCUGUGGUUGCUUACGUGAGGACACGGGCGCUCAUACGCCAUAAGUGCAGAGGGCGUACGUGUGGAAUCUGCGGAUCUUACGCCCUCGGAUGAUCCGAUGUCGGAUUAGCUAGUUGGUGGGGUAAAGGCCUACCAAGGCGACGAUCCGUAGCUGGUCUGAGAGGAUGAUCAGUCACACUGGAACUGAGACACGGUCCAGACUCCUACGGGAGGCAGCAGUGGGGAAUAUUGGACAAUGGGCGAAAGCCUGAUCCAGCCAUGCCGCGUGGGUGAAGAAGGUCUUCGGAUUGUAAAGCACUUUUAUUGGGAAAGAAGAGCAGCAAGUUAAUACCUUGCUGUUCUGACGGUACCAAAAGAAUAAGCACCGGCUAACUUCGUG